CAGGACUCGCAAGACUCCUACAACCCUGUGAACCUACUAUACGAACGUUGCUUCGGCGGGUGCGCCCCGGGGAUUCGUUCCCGCGGCGCGUCAGCCCGCCGGCAGCCUACAAGUUCUGUUUCUUUGCGUUGGCAUCUCGAGAAAAACAAAUAAGUUA
rnacentral:misc_RNA from 1 species